GACAACGGCUUCUCGGAUGCUAGGGCACCUGCCACCCACCCAUCUCCCUCCCAUCCCAGAUCCCUCGCGCCAUGGCCAACGCCUCCCCCCAGUGGCUUACGCUAGCGCACCUGCCCACCUCCCUCCCUCUCCCCCGCCCAGCCAUGGCCAUCGCCUUUGACUCUCCGACCUCCUCCCCCGCUGAAAUUCCUGCUCUGAAAUACGCUCGCUUCUGCUGCCUAGAUCUGGUACCCCUGUUGUCACCACGUUUUUGCCACCACCGUCACCAGCUCAGAGCUUUCCCUCCAUUGCUUCCUCCUCGUCGUGGUCUCCUCUGUGUCACUCCGCUCGAGCUCGCCAUCCUCUUGCCAGCGCGACUCCGUGGAGCGUGCGAGACAGUGCCGGUGGCCGCGGAGACCCGCCACGGGGACAUGGAGGGGUAGGUGUUGCCACAGUUCGUAGAUUUCAACGCCUGGUACACACACGCGAUCUCCACUACCGAGCUCGUGGACUACAGACUCCAAAACUAAAUCAACAAGUUGGAGAUCCUCCUUCCUGCAGCGCAGAAGCACAGCUGGUUCUUUCAGGCGCAGCAAACUCUGUUCAGAUAAAAAUUUGUGUUAACUGAUGCUCAAAUUACUGAAGAAUGGAAUAGAGGAGCUGCACCAAGUUCACGCUUCAUAUUCGCAGAGAAGAAUGCAAACUAUGUUCUGCUUACCUGAACAAUAAGUGUCUUGAGAAGCUUCUUGUAAGUGAGGUGAUCUCUACUUAUGCGCAGUAGCUCUUUGCUUGCUGACUUCAACAUAUCUGUUACCAAAUCAUCCUGAGCUUGAAGGACUUUAAUUCUAGAAGCAUUGAGCUGCAUUGAGUAAUCACUGCAUAAGACCACACACAGUAAUAUCAGUGAAUUGAUAUUUUUUACACAAAAGAAAAAUAGUAUGGUCACCGGCAUAUGCUAAAGUGGGGAAAUAUCCAUAAUGGCCCGUAGACAAUAGUAGCUAUGAAGUGUGACAUAGGUAAAACAGAAACAAGUCACAAGAAUGGGAAUAAGAAAUUGAGUUAGAACUGCUAUUUACAUUUUCUUCUUGAUGCCAAUAACUUGCUAGCUGGAUUCCACCGUGGUCAAGCCUUGUGAUGAAAUCAGAUGAUGAUGACGCAAUUGGCUUCUGUGACCUACAAUUAUGGGCAUGCUGAUGCUACCUAGAACCUCACUACACUGGAUGACAGGUGAAUAAGCAGACAAUAGUUGAGUGUUGUCAUCAGGUUGCAUCUACCAUGACUGAGAUUGUGAGCUUAUGUAUCUAUCGAUCAUUGUAUUACUCACUCUUUCUCAGUAUAAGUUGAAUACUCAGCAUACUAUAUAUAUAUAUGUGAUACAGCGCCCGAUAGGGCGCUACUUUUUCUAGUGUAGCAUACAAGCUCCAAUCGGUUGGCUUUGGUGACAAUGGAGGGAGGAGGGAAGGGUAGUGGAGUUUGGUAUAUAGAUCCACCCAGAUGGAGUGGAGUACAGUACAAUGAUAGACAGUGAAGAGACGAGAAGAUUCAAUUUUAUUUGAGUUGAGCCUCAAAGUUAUCUACAACAGUCCACUCUACAGUACUAUAGUGGGCAACAAAUGUAUGGACAUAUGCACGCUUUGUUAGUCAAAAGGUUUAGAAAUUUAGGUGUGGGAGAAAGAAAAAAAAUAACCUUGUGAACUGCGAAGUUUUUUUUCUCUU